AACAAACGCUGGCGGCGUGUCUUAAGCAUGCAAGUUGAGCGGCAAGGGGGAGCGAUCCCCCCUAGAGCGGCGGACUGGUGAGUAACACGUGGAUGAUCUACCCGAGGCAUGGGGAUAGUCACUAGAAAUAGUGGGUAAUACCGAAUACGGUGCGCAUCGUGAGGGUGCGCAAGAAAGGUGCUACGGCACCGGCCUAGGAUGAGUCUGCGUCCCAUUAGCUGGUUGGUGAGGUAAGAGCCCACCAAGGCGAUGAUGGGUAGCCGGCCUGAGAGGGUGUACGGCCACACUGGGACUGAGAUACGGCCCAGACUCCUACGGGAGGCAGCAGCUAAGAAUAUUCCGCAAUGGACGAAAGUCUGACGGAGCGACGCCGCGUGGAUGAAGAAGGCCGAAAGGUUGUAAAGUUCUUUUGUUGGGGAAGAAUAACCAUGGGAGGGAAUGCCCGUGGGAUGACAUGAACCGACGAAUAAGCCCCGGCUAACUACGUG
rnacentral:rRNA from 1 species